GGCCUCUUAGGACAGCUAAAGGGAGAGGCUCUACUUUUGAUGGCAGCUUUCAGGCGGGCAGUGCAGAACAGCUCUGGUUUGUGUCGUGGUUUCCGGUGUGCCGUGUUCCCUAGUGUGUCUUUGGGGUCCCUUUUGCCUUCUUCCCUCGAGGCCCUCACCACAAGCAUGAUGUGUGGUGUUUGAUGUCCCCCUGUUUGUCACGUUCUGUGUCACGGGUGUCUGCACACAUACGGGUGCCGGAGCUGUUCUGCCCUGCCGCAUGGCCAGCUGCAAUGGGACAAGCCCUGGGGAGUGUAAAUUUGUAAUGGGGGCUGUACUUGGGCUCUAGAUGCUAUUCCUAGAUGGACCUAAGGUGUUUGCAGCUUAUCCUGGUGGUGUUUGACACAUGUUCUAACUUUCUUUCAGGUGCAGAUGCAUUGCAUCCAUGGCAGAGGGUCAGAGUUAGCAGGUGCCGGGCCUUCCUAGGAGCAGGCUGUCUGAGAGACACCGGCCCGGUGACAGCAGGACCUUCCCAGCUGACGAGGUGGCCUUUCUUUGCACCUGGCACGGACUGGCAUCGCCAGAUGUCUGAGAGAUAAGUAGAGGGCUAUGACCCACAGAGGGGAUGAAGGCAGGGUGCUGGUUUGGGAAUUACUGGGAGGGGUUUUUGAGUCCAGUUUGGCGGUGGGGGGGUGUCCAUGAAGUGGCCCCUUAGGCCCCAUGAAAGCAAAGUCUCACCUUUGAUCACAGUGCUGAGGCGUUCAGGGCAGAGCAGUCCCGGUGUGUCUGGUGUCACUUGUCUGCUGUGCAUUAUGUGUUGUUUGUGUAUCUCCUGUCUUUUACCUUAGCACUUUGAGGGGCCUGUCAGAAACCUUGGCAUCAUUGUUAGCAUCUGUGAUCUCUGCAUUCCUUGGCCUGGCACCCAGGCCAUAGAACUUUUGACUCGGGAGCUCAGACAGGCAUCAGACUCUUCUCUCUUUGGAAGCAUCCAGUCAGAUGUCUUGUCAGGUCUUGUUCUGAGCUGUACGGACAGCUGUGCCCCACCUGGAUCCAUUAUGGUGGAUUAGGGCUUGAAAGAAUGUGAGGGCAGGCAGAGGAUUCUGACCAUAGGAUUCCUAGGCAUCCAUCUUUACUGUUCUUGGAAUCAAUCAUUCAGUUAGCAUCUUCUUCCUGCAGUGUUCUCUGAGCCUCAUCAGCUCACCGUCAGUUUGAACUCAGUCAUCUCCUUUUGCAUGCUCUCAGUCCUUGCAGCCAUUUUCCUUGCCAAGAGAUUUCUGUUCCUGUUGUGUCCCCGUUGUGUGUCCUGUCCUGUCUGUCCUGUGUCACGGGUGUCAGCACACAUUUGUGCCGGGGCUGCUCUGCCCUGCCGCAUAGCCUGGUGCGAUAGGAGAGGGCCCGGGGACUUGGAAUGUGUAAUGUGGGGUGUAGUUGGACUCUAGAUGGGAUUUGUAGAUGGACACAGGACAUCUGGAGCUCUUAAGGUAUCCUGCCUCCCUUUGGCUUUUGUCCUGACUUUGUUUCAGAUGCACCUCCUCAGGUGACUGCAGUGGUUCUCUCGGUUCUAUCUUCUCAAAGGAUGUAGGUCUCAAGAAUUCAUCUUCCAGAAGUUAUCUCCAGUCCUGGCUUGUGUUGUCCCCGAGGCUGCUGAUUUCCCCAGGAUCUGCCAUUUACUUCAAGGAGCAGCAGCCAGAAGAUGUGUCACAGCACGUUCUUCAGCGUCUCAGGUUUUGCAACUCAUUUUUAAAGUUAGAAUAAAAAAUCCUCAGCCGGGUUAUAUUGUAUGUACUGACAUGGAAUGUACCCAUGUUGGCUUAAAACCCAGUAAAACAGACGAAGAUGGGUAAGAAAAAACCCAGAAAAAAACCCCAACAAGAUGGGCAAGAAAAAAACCCAGAAAAGAACCCGAAGACGGGCAAGAAAAAAUCCAGAAAAAAACCCCGAAGAUGGGCAUGAAGAGACCCAGAAAAAACCCAGAGAAAACCCAGAAAAACAAUUCCAAGAAGGGCAAGAAAAGACCCGGAAAACACCCAGAAAAAAUCGCAACCAAAGUAUAAAUAUAUAAAUGUCUUUCAAAUAUAUAGAGAAUUGUUAAAUUAUUUAAAAUACAAAAUAACAUAAAUCAAUAUCUGCAUAUAAGAUCCAUAAUACCAGUAAUACUGUAUAUAUCUUAUUAUAGUGUAUUAUAGGAAAUAGAUAUAAAUAAAUUUAUAUCAAUUUUAUGUUUAUCAUAUCUAUAAUUUGUUAUAUAUUACACCAUAUUGAUAUAAGUUUUUUAAAGCAGUUUAACAUAAAGGGGGGUUUUGUUUUUUAUUUGGCAAAAGCAGGGGUUUUAGUACAAAAAUGAUAGAUACAAAUAAUAUAAAGGUAGAAAUCUAAGUAUAGAAAGAGAUCAUAAAUAGGUAAAGGCUAAUAUAAAAUUAAAAAUCUAAGAUAAAAUAAGUUGUAGCAGUACAUAUGGUACAUAAUUUAAAAAAUACUUUAUUUCUAUUAUUUGAAUAGGACACAUAUUAUAUAUCAUGAUUAAUAUAAUGCUUAAAUAUAAACUAUAAAUAUAAAUGGGAAUAUAGUCAUGCAAGCUAUAAAUAUAAAAAUAUUUCAAUAUAGUUUAAAAGCAUAGAGCUUUUUUGUAUUUUUAGUUAGUAUGGGAAUUUUAUUUUAAAUAAUUAAAAUUACAUUUCUAUCAUGCUUUUAACAUAGAAAUAUACAAUAAAUAUAGAAAGAUAUUUAUAAAACCACAAAAUAUAAAUAAAUAUAAACAGUAGGAAUAGACAGAAUAUAUUUUAUAAAUUACAUGCUACAUCAAUGUCCACUAUAAAUAUGCAUGUGAAUAUAAAUACGAAAAAUAGGACUAUCAAAUUGGUUUUAAUAGGAUUUUAAAGCAAGGCGGUUUGUUUGGUUCUGGUCGGGUAAGAGGCAGGUUUUUGGCAUUUAUUUCAGAGCAGUUUUUGUCUGGGGUCGCCCCUGUUCUUUUUUGCCGCCUUCGCUGCCCGCAACCCCGAGGCGCGCUGCGCCCCCGUCUGGGGCGGGCGGCAGUGCUGCCGCCUUGUGGGCAGAGCGCGGUACUGCAGCCGUGCGCCGGCAGGCAGCCGAGAGGCCGCCAUGCUGGGAGUGGCGUGUCGCGGGUGUCUCGGACUUUUCGUUGACCUUCUCGAGAUGGCGGGGAAGUGGAGGACCCCGGUGGGUGUAAGUGAACUGCCUGCAUGGAAUACCGACGUCAUGGCGGCCCCGACGGAUUUUUCUGCGGCGUUUGAAGCGUAUCCGAUACAUGCUGUGGGCUCAGCGUCGCCGCGGGCGGGCAUAUUUCUGCGGGUUUGUGACAGGCAUCUGGGUAAACCUGGCCUGUCUGCGCCGGGGUCCUCUCAUGCCCGCUCUCCCGCCCUCAGCGAGCCGAGCCGGGCUGAACUGUUCCGAAGAUCCGAGUGUGGCCGAAAAUAACCGAGUUUAGCUUAAGAGACCAGGAUAGCCUAGUGUAGCUGACAUUAGCCGCGUUAGGACAAAGAGCCGCAUGAGGUUAGCCAGUAGCCGGGAGUGGCCUGGUGGCUCCUGAAAUUCCACGAUAGGCAGGAUGGUUCCCAGACCCAAGCUGGCCCCAGUGCCAAGUCGGGCUGACGUGAUAGCGCCUCGUGGCUCCUGCAGUGUGCCAUCCAGAAGCGGGGCAGACAGCCAGUUCUGAAGCACUGAGCAGAGAUCUGCCCGGGAGGAAGAGCAGAGCCAAUCUCUGAGAGCUGACGCGCGAGCUGUGGUGAGGACAGCUGCUCCCUGCCUGCAGCCUGCCUUGGUGUGGGAGCUGCUGAGCUGCCAUUCCUGUGGUGGGAGUGUUUCUCCUCUCAUCGAGCCAAGCCAGAGACCUGCUAGGGAAGGAGCAGACUCAUCACGGCAGGACGGCGUGAAGGCUGAAAGCGUAAGAAGAUGUGGAGGGAAGCAGAGAAUCUGACAGGAGCAUCGAACGCGCGAGCGCACGAAUUUUGCUUUUUGCUUGGGUGUAAACUCAGGAGUUGAAAGGAAUUUGGGAGUGAGAAGGGACAUUUCAGAAGGUGAAGAAGAAAAAGAAGUGUUGUUGUUGUUGUUACAGGCCUGGCAAAAUCUUUUGUUCUAGCUAAUAAAAGAAGUUAGUUUAAAUAAAAAAAAGAAAAAAAAAAUGUAGUUUUUCUUUACCUGACUAUUAUAUUCAUUGGUGGUAUAUGGUGUGUUGUUUAAUUUCUUGGUAUGAUUAACUCAGUGUAAGUUGUUUUUUGAGUGAACUAACUUUCUGGAUGGGUUGGUUUGUAUUUGAGACAGGAUUGAUUUCAAUAGGUUUCUUUCAUAGACUUGUGAUAGGUAUUACUGGGGUUUUGGCUUUGUUUACUGUAUGCAUAAACAUCCAGCUUUGGUUGGGCCAGCUGGGCUGCCGGAGUUUGUGGGUGUGAAUUUAUUCGAUGGCUUUUGUUAAAUGCAGUGUUUAAUUUUUGACAGGUUUUUCAAUGUAGUGGUUUUAAGGUGGUUUUUAGAAUUGAUUGUAUGGUUUGAUGUUGUUUAUAGUUGCUGUCCGGUAAGGGAUGUGGUGUGAGUACUUGAACGUUAUGGUUUUGGUUUUCCUAAGUUCCGUUUUCUUUCUGGUUCGAUAGGUUUUUUUAGUUUUAUUUUUGGUGCCAGGGGUAUUCACGUGGUGGGUUUUUAUAGGCAAUAUGUUUUUUAAUUUGGGUAGUGAUAUUUUUUAGUAUUUUAACAGUUUAGAUUUUUUAUUUUUAUGCUUUGAAUUAGUUUUCUUUUAAUUUUAAAUUAAGUUUUAUAGAUUAUUGGUUUUUAUUUGUGCAUUAGCAUAAAGGUAGAGCUUUGGGGGCUUCUUUUAGUACUGUUUAGGGUCAGUUGUACAGUUUUGAGUCUAGUGAGUUGGUUUGAUUUAAUUUUUAGUGGGUGUUUGUUUUUCUUAGCAGUUGUGUCAUUUUCAAGGUGUAUUUGAGGUUUUUGGGGUUUUUGAGAUAUUGGUUUAGGAGGACGUUUAUGAUGAGCAUGUGCGCAGGUUUUGGGCUAGUUGAAGUGGGAUUUAAAAUUUAUUUUGGGUUAGGUUUAUUUGAGUGUUUAUGAGGGUUCAGUGUUGUGGGAUGUUUGUUCCGUUAGUAAUAAAAAUAGGUUUUGUUUUGAUGUGCUGCGAUGGGAUGAGCGUGUGCUGCGUGCCGGUGCUGACAAAGGUACGGUAUUGUUGUGGCUUAUUUAUAUGGUUUAAUAUAGAGG